GAUGAAGAACGUAGUGAAAUGCGAUAAGUAGUGUGAAUUGCAGAAUUCAGUGAAUCAUCGAAUCUUUGAACGCACAUUGCGCCCCUUGGUAUCCCGAGGGGCAUGCCUGUUCGAGCGUCAUUUCACCACUCAAGCCUGGCUUGGUGUUGGGCGACGUCCUCUUUGGGGACGCGCCUCGAAACGCUCGGCUGCGUGGCACCGGCUUUAAGCGUAGCAGAAUCUUUCGCUUUGGAAGUCGGGGCCCCGUCUGCCGGAAGACCUGCUCGCAAGGUUGACCUCGGAUCAGGCAGGGAUACCCGCUGAACUUAAGCAUAUCAAUAAGCGGAGGA
rnacentral:misc_RNA from 1 species